rnacentral:rRNA from 1 species
UACGUAGGGUGCAAGCGUUGUCCGGAAUUAUUGGGCGUAAAGAGCUCGUAGGCGGUCUGUCGCGUCGGCUGUGAAAACCCGAGGCUCAACCUCGGGCCUGCAGUCGAUACGGGCAAACUAGAGUACUGCAGGGGAGACUGGAAUUCCUGGUGUAGCGGUGAAAUGCGCAGAUAUCAGGAGGAACACCGGUGGCGAAGGCGGGUCUCUGGGCAGUAACUGACGCUGGAGGAGCGAAAAGCCGUGGGGGAGCGAAACAGG